rnacentral:rRNA from 1 species
GACGAACGCUGGCGGCGUGCUUAACACAUGCAAGUCGAACGGGGAUAUACUGGAGGAGAGCUUCGGCAGGAAUCGGGUAUAUUCCAGUGGCGGACGGGUGAGUAACGCGUGAGCAACCUGUCCCAGACAGGGGGAUAACACUUGGAAACAGGUGCUAAUACCGCAUAAGACCACGGGGUCACAUGGCCCAGGGGUAAAAGGUGCAAACCGGUUUGGGGUGGGCUCGCGUCCGAUUAGAUAGUUGGUGAGGUAACGGCCCACCAAGUCGACGAUCGGUAACCGACCUGAGAGGGUGAUCGGCCACAUUGGAACUGAGAGACGGUCCAA